ACUAGCAUAAAUGGAUGGCAUAUAACAAAUGGAAAAAAUCAAAAAGGUGGCAAAGCUUCUUGCUCCUCUCCUGAUUCCGUACAGCUUACCCCAGGCAUUGUGACACCUUAAUGCCACACAGCAGCUAGAGGCAAGUGAUCUUCCUUCCCUUCCUGCAAGCUCAGUGCACUGUAGUUCUGUAGUUUCUUCUCCCUCUCCCACUAUUGCAGUGGAUUCUUUUUUUUUUUAAAUCCUUUUGGUUGCUCUGGUAUCAAAUUAAACUCUGAAACUGGACUUAAAAUAUAUGUUCUAUUGUGCUUAAUUAGCACUGUCUCCUGAUCAAUCACUGGAGAUCCUAGGAGCUACUAAUGUUAAUAUCAAUGUUGUAGCUUGACAGUAAUUGCUGAGCUAGUAUCACUGAGGUUGGAUUUAACCCAAGAACAUUUUGAGUGACAAUCCUAUCUAUGGUUUCUAAAAGUGGCUGUGCUGAGUGGUUAACCUACAUGAGAAGGCUUUCUGGAAAGGCAGGAUCAACAAGAAAUAACUGCUGAUCUUAUUGAUAAUAUUAACAUAUAAAAACAACAAAAUCACACACGUAACAUUACUUCAAAUAACAAACAGAUAAUUCAAAACAAGCAGUCAUCAUGUAAUGCAGCUCUCUCUCACAGCUGUGAAGGAGUUAAAUUCAAUGCAAGCGUCUCAUCCAAAAACAUAGAAGACGAGGAAUACUGCAGAUGCUUACUGAGAAGCAAGAGCAGUGUGAAAAGUUCUUAAACACCCUCCUGUUUCUCUUCCCAAAGCAUCUCAAGCAUUUUGAAGAAUCCUACUUAUUUGUUGAAAUACUGAGCGAAUCAAGAAAAAACCAUCCUGGGACAAAUUUGUGAGAGCAAAUCCUUGCUUUUACAACUUUCAGCUGCAUAGACUGGGAGAAAAAUUUGGAAUACGAAGAGAAUUAAAACAAAAAAACAGGGACAAAGAAAGGAUGUUUAAGUGUCUGCGCUCAUGCAAAUCAGCCCUGUCACUUUUACAAAUAAACUCCAAGUAGGCUGGUAAUAUACCUUAACACAGCUUCAGCUGGCAAUAUAAAAGCUUGUCAGGCAUCUCAAAUUCCUGGACAAACAGCCACUGCAACAUAUAGAGAAAUACCUUUAUGUUGUGAAGUUGAGCUGAAAAUGCAU